rnacentral:rRNA from 1 species
CCUACGGGGGGCUGCAGUGGGGAAUAUUGGACAAUGGGCGCAAGCCUGAUCCAGCAAUGCCGCGUGAGUGAAGAAGGUCUUCGGAUUGUAAAGCUCUUUUGGCGGGGACGAUGAUGACGGUACCCGCAGAAUAAGCCCCGGCUAACUUCGUGCCAGCAGCCGCGGUAAUACGAAGGGGGCUAGCGUUGCUCGGAAUGACUGGGCGUAAAGGGCGCGUAGGCGGAUUGUACAGUCAGACGUGAAAUUCCUGGGCUCAACCUGGGGGCUGCGUUUGA